rnacentral:tRNA from 1 species
GAGGGUAUAGCUCUGCGGUGGAGUGCGUGCUUAGCAUGCACGAGGUCCUGGGUUCAAUCCCCAGUACCUCCU